GAUGAACGCUCGCGGCAGGCCUAAUACAUGCAAGUCGGACGGGAUUCAGGAGCUUGCUUCUGAUGAGAGUGGCGCACGGGUGCGUAACACGUAUGUAACCUACCUUUAUCAGGGGGAUAGCCUCUCGAAAGAGAGAUUAAGCCCGCAUAAAAUCACAGCACAGCAUUGUGUAAUGAUCAAAUAUUUAUAGGAUAAAGAUGGGCAUGCGGAACAUUAGCUAGAUGGCGGGGUAACGGCCCACCAUGGCGACGAUGUUUAGGGGAUCUGAGAGGAUGGCCCCCCACACGGGUACUGAGACACGGACCAGACUCCUACGGGAGGCAGCAGUAAGGAAUAUUGGUCAAUGGGCGGAAGCCUGAACCAGCCAUGCCGCGUGCAGGAAGACGGCCCUACGGGUUGUAAACUGCUUUUAUACGGGAAUAAACCCAGAUACGUGUAUCUGGCUGAAUGUACUGUAAGAAUAAGGAUCGGCUAACUCCGUG
rnacentral:rRNA from 1 species